CAGCCGCCGCGGUAAUACGUGGGUGGCAAGCGUUGUCCGGAAUUAUUGGGCGUAAAGGGCUCGCAGGCGGUUUCUUAAGUCUGAUGUGAAAGCCCCCGGCUCAACCGGGGAGGGUUAUUGGAAACUGGGAAACUUGAGUGCAGAAGAGGAGAGUGGAAUUCCACGUGUAGCGGUGAAAUGCAUAGAGAUGUGGAGGAACACCAGUGGCGAAGGCGACUCUCUGGUCUGUAACUGACGCUGAGGAGCGAAAGCGUGGGGAGCGAACAGGAUUAGAUACCCCAGUAGUCCCUGUCUCUUAUAA
rnacentral:rRNA from 1 species